ensembl:piRNA 21ur-14051 ncRNA
UUUCAAUACAAGCAAGGGAUG